CAAAGGCUUGGCCCUGACUUUACUAUCAGCUCCCGCCCAAUUUAUACAUGCAAGUAUCCGCACCCCCGUGAGAAUGCCCUCAAUUCUCUGCCCGAGAACAAGGAGCAGGCAUCAGGCACCUAAUACGAAGCCAAAGACGCCUUGCUAUGCCACACCCUCAAGGGAUUUCAGCAGUAAUAAAUAUUAAGCCAUGAGUGUAAACUCGACUUAGUUAAGGCCUCAAGGGUCGGUAAAAUUCGUGCCAGCCACCGCGGUUAUACGAAAGACCCAAGUUGAUUAAUUACGGCGUAAAGGGUGGUUAAGGGUAAAUGAAAAUAAGGCUAAAGACUCUCCAGGCUGUCAUACGCUCUCCGAGAUAACGAGACCCUCACACGAAAGUAUCCUUAAAAUUUAAACCCUGACGCCACGAAAGCCAAGAAACAAACUGGGAUUAGAUACCCCACUAUGCUUGGCUGUAAACCCAGAUAUGUUCUCACACGCACAUCCGCCCGGGUACUACGAGCACAGCUUAAAACCCAAAGGACUUGGCGGUGUCUCAGACCCACCUAGAGGAGCCUGUUCUAGAACCGAUAACCCCCGUUAAACCUCACCACUUCUUGUUUUCCCCGCCUAUAUACCGCCGUCGUCAGCUUACCCUGUGAAGGCCAAACAGUAAGCAAAAUGGGCACGCCCAAAAACGUCAGGUCGAGGUGUAGCGUACGAAGUGGAAAGAAAUGGGCUACAUUUUCUACAUAAAGAAUAUUACGAAUGGUAUAAUGAAACAUAUACCUGAAGGUGGAUUUAGUAGUAAAAAACAAACAGAGCGUGCUUUUGAAUUAGGCUCUGAGACGCGCACACACCGCCCGUCACUCUCCCCUCAUGCACAUAACCCAAGUAUUCCUAAUAAUACACCCAUCAACACGGGGAGGCAAGUCGUAACAUGGUAAGUGUACCGGAAGGUGCACUUGGACUAA
rnacentral:ncRNA from 1 species